rnacentral:rRNA from 1 species
GAUGAACGCUGGCGGCGUGCCUAAUACAUGCAAGUAGAACGCUGAAGCUUGGUGCUUGCACCGAGCGGAUGAGUUGCGAACGGGUGAGUAACGCGUAGGUAACCUGCCUCUUAGCGGGGGAUAACUAUUGGAAACGAUAGCUAAUACCGCAUAAAAGUCGAUAUCGCAUGAUGUUGACUUGAAAGGUGCAAUUGCAUCACUAAGAGAUGGACCUGCGUUGUAUUAGCUAGUUGGUGAGGUAACGGCUCACCAAGGCGACGAUACAUAGCCGACCUGAGAGGGUGAUCGGCCACACUGGGACUGAGACACGGCCCAGGCUCCUACGGGAGGCAGCAGUAGGGAAUCUUCGGCAAUGGGGGCAACCCUGACCGAGCAACGCCGCGUGAGUGAAGAAGGUUUUCGGAUCGUAAAGCUCUGUUGUAAGAGAAGAACGAGUGUGAGAGCGGAAAGUUCACGCUGUGACG